CCGGCGAUUUCCGAAUGGGGAAACCCAGUGUGUUUCGACACACUAUCAUUAACUGAAUCCAUAGGUUAAUGAGGCGAACCGGGGGAACUGAAACAUCUAAGUACCCCGAGGAAAAGAAAUCAACCGAGAUUCCCCCAGUAGCGGCGAGCGAACGGGGAGGAGCCCAGAGCCUGAAUCAGUGUGUGUGUUAGUGGAAGCGUCUGGAAAGGCGCGCGAUACAGGGUGACAGCCCCGUACACAAAAAUGCACAUGCUGUGAGCUCGAUGAGUAGGGCGGGACACGUGGUAUCCUGUCUGAAUAUGGGGGGACCAUCCUCCAAGGCUAAAUACUCCUGACUGACCGAUAGUGAACCAGUACCGUGAGGGAAAGGCGAAAAGAACCCCGGCGAGGGGAGUGAAAAAGAACCUGAAACCGUGUACGUACAAGCAGUGGGAGCCUCUUAAUGGGGUGACUGCGUACCUUUUGUAUAAUGGGUCAGCGACUUAUAUUCUGUAGCAAGGUUAACCGAAUAGGGGAGCCGAAGGGAAACCGAGUCUUAACUGGGCGUUAAGUUGCAGGGUAUAGACCCGAAACCCGGUGAUCUAGCCAUGGGCAGGUUGAAGGUUGGGUAACACUAACUGGAGGACCGAACCGACUAAUGUUGAAAAAUUAGCGGAUGACUUGUGGCUGGGGGUGAAAGGCCAAUCAAACCGGGAGAUAGCUGGUUCUCCCCGAAAGCUAUUUAGGUAGCGCCUCGUGAAUUCAUCUCCGGGGGUAGAGCACUGUUUCGGCAAGGGGGUCAUCCCGACUUACCAACCCGAUGCAAACUGCGAAUACCGGAGAAUGUUAUCACGGGAGACACACGGCGGGUGCUAACGUCCGUCGUGAAGAGGGAAACAACCCAGACCGCCAGCUAAGGUCCCAAAGUCAUGGUUAAGUGGGAAACGAUGUGGGAAGGCCCAGACAGCCAGGAUGUUGGCUUAGAAGCAGCCAUCAUUUAAAGAAAGCGUAAUAGCUCACUGGUCGAGUCGGCCUGCGCGGAAGAUGUAACGGGGCUAAACCAUGCACCGAAGCUGCGGCAGCGACACUAUGUGUUGUUGGGUAGGGGAGCGUUCUGUAAGCCUGUGAAGGUGGCCUGUGAGGGUUGCUGGAGGUAUCAGAAGUGCGAAUGCUGACAUAAGUAACGAUAAAGCGGGUGAAAAGCCCGCUCGCCGGAAGACCAAGGGUUCCUGUCCAACGUUAAUCGGGGCAGGGUGAGUCGACCCCUAAGGCGAGGCCGAAAGGCGUAGUCGAUGGGAAACAGGUUAAUAUUCCUGUACUUGGUGUUACUGCGAAGGGGGGACGGAGAAGGCUAUGUUGGCCGGGCGACGGUUGUCCCGGUUUAAGCGUGUAGGCUGGUUUUCCAGGCAAAUCCGGAAAACCAAGGCUGAGGCGUGAUGACGAGGCACUACGGUGCUGAAGUGACAAAUGCCCUGCUUCCAGGAAAAGCCUCUAAGCAUCAGGUAACAUCAAAUCGUACCCCAAACCGACACAGGUGGUCAGGUAGAGAAUACCAAGGCGCUUGAGAGAACUCGGGUGAAGGAACUAGGCAAAAUGGUGCCGUAACUUCGGGAGAAGGCACGCUGAUAUGUAGGUGAAGCGACUUGCUCGUGGAGCUGAAAUCAGUCGAAGAUACCAGCUGGCUGCAACUGUUUAUUAAAAACACAGCACUGUGCAAACACGAAAGUGGACGUAUACGGUGUGACGCCUGCCCGGUGCCGGAAGGUUAAUUGAUGGGGUUAGCGGUAACGCGAAGCUCUUGAUCGAAGCCCCGGUAAACGGCGGCCGUAACUAUAACGGUCCUAAGGUAGCGAAAUUCCUUGUCGGGUAAGUUCCGACCUGCACGAAUGGCGUAAUGAUGGCCAGGCUGUCUCCACCCGAGACUCAGUGAAAUUGAACUCGCUGUGAAGAUGCAGUGUACCCGCGGCAAGACGGAAAGACCCCGUGAACCUUUACUAUAGCUUGACACUGAACAUUGAGCCUUGAUGUGUAGGAUAGGUGGGAGGCUUUGAAGUGUGGACGCCAGUCUGCAUGGAGCCGACCUUGAAAUACCACCCUUUAAUGUUUGAUGUUCUAACGUUGGCCCCUAAUCGGGGUUGCGGACAGUGUCUGGUGGGUAGUUUGACUGGGGCGGUCUCCUCCUAAAGAGUAACGGAGGAGCACGAAGGUUGGCUAAUCCUGGUCGGACAUCAGGAGGUUAGUGCAAUGGCAUAAGCCAGCUUGACUGCGAGCGUGACGGCGCGAGCAGGUGCGAAAGCAGGUCAUAGUGAUCCGGUGGUUCUGAAUGGAAGGGCCAUCGCUCAACGGAUAAAAGGUACUCCGGGGAUAACAGGCUGAUACCGCCCAAGAGUUCAUAUCGACGGCGGUGUUUGGCACCUCGAUGUCGGCUCAUCACAUCCUGGGGCUGAAGUAGGUCCCAAGGGUAUGGCUGUUCGCCAUUUAAAGUGGUACGCGAGCUGGGUUUAGAACGUCGUGAGACAGUUCGGUCCCUAUCUGCCGUGGGCGCUGGAGAACUGAGGGGGGCUGCUCCUAGU
rnacentral:rRNA from 1 species